AGAAGGGUUCCACAGGCUUCACCAGAUUGCCAGCAGAAGUAAUACGGCUACAAAUCAAGAGAAGCCCUGCUUCUGAAUCUGCCUGUGUCCACCUGACCUUUCUGUGUGACUGUGGGCAAGUCGUCUUCCCACCCAGAGAGCAGUUUUGAUAUCUGCACAACCGGGAGGUUGGCCCGCUCAAGGGCAGCAUGCUUCUGGCAUUCCUACUGGAGUUUCCCCUUGCCAUGUCCGCAGCAGACACUACCGGUCACAGGCUCUGGUUAUUCCGCGCCUGUGUGCAGCUUCAGAAACCUUUUCAACACUACUGAUGGACCAGAAAUGGCCAAUGAGAUGAGACUGAUUCAUGAGUGUACUAAGCGAUCUAAACUUAAAAGUACCACCCACGUUUCCACCUCUGAUUUCCCAUGGCUCCAAGGAUCUGAUCUGAGAACCCAAGGAAGACCCUGGACUGAUGGUGAAGACUCGUAAAGAAGGCUAUCUCUCACCUCUGACCUCUCAGCGGGGCUAUACAUUCUCUUGCAUGCACUCUAGAGCAAAGAUGGGGUCAGAAUAGGACACCCAGAUGCUGAAAUCUCACACUCCCAUGGGUCUAUCAGGUCUACAGCAGAGAAAGGAAGAGAUAUGGGUAGAAAUCAAAGUCUCUGGUCAGCGUUGGGAACUGAUGUCCUACCGCAACUGGUGCCACCAGGACCUUCCUCUCCCCAACCACCCCAUGUCAUAAGGGCGAUCAGGCAGUGAUGGCAACAAAGUGAACAACUCCAGCUACCCCAAGAUAAUUUAUGCCAACACAGCCACAUGCCAACGUGUGGACUCACUAUGUAGCCCGGGCUGGUCUCCAGCUCGUGGCAGUCCUCUUGCUUCAGCCUCCCCAGUACUGGGAUUACAGGUGUGCACCUGGCCAAAUGUUGUAGUGAGUUUAACACACCUAGCACAACUAUUAGUACGCAACUAUAGUAGGUACUUAAUAACCGCAGCUACUCCACUAAAGCAUCUCAAGCUUUGUUCAUGGGGACAGGAGGGACCCCCCCCCCCCCCACUGCACCCAAAUGUAUCCAUCUCAAGGCCUGCAGGCGCAGCAUGCAUGAAGUUCUCACUCAGAUACCCAAUGCCGUCAAACAUAUUCACACACACCUUGCAUCAACCCUCGGGAGGAUUCUGAGAUGCCAAGGCUGGUUACCAAGGAAAGGUGUUUAGGAGCCUCCCCUGGGGAGUAGCCGCAACUUUCCAGGGCUGUUGAGAACGGAGGCCUGCCCCACAGCAAGAGCCUCACUCACAGGACCCUACAGAGGUCAAAGAAUUUGUGGACUUUCAUGCCAUUUGCUCCCGUUCACAUGUUCACAAGCAAACACGCAUGUGCACAUGUCCCUAAAUUCCCUCUUCCUGGAAACUGUCGGGGCUUUCACUCUACCUCACUCUCUCCCCUCGCCUCCCUUGGGAGGAAAGGCUGCCACAGUCCUUGAAAUCAGCAUUCCCUGAGAUUUGUUUUCUUAGCAGGGAGCUGCAGGGGAGGAGAGAACAGGUUGGCUUAGGCUCAAACGACUGAACAGAAGGGGCUUUGAGAAGAAAAGUGACUUCUUCCCAAGUUCAUCGGAGGUCCUGCCGUGGGGACUGGAAUCCAAAGUGCCCGCCCUAUCUCUGAUCAGCCUGCUUCUCACACCACAGCCACAUGCUGGGCCUGGGUUUCCCUCCCAAGAGUCAUGAGAAAAUUCCGUGCCUCACCGAGCUAUUUUCUCCUUCUUUGGUUUAUAGGAUUCUACAUUUUGAAAAGUUCUGAUAAAUGGUG
rnacentral:lncRNA from 1 species